ACAAAAUUGCAUCAAAACGAGCAAGAUUCUCCAUUUAACUCUACCGGAUGAUUGGAACGUGUUCCAGACGCCCAAAGAGAGGUUAUAAAGAGUUUCCGGCAGUGUUUU